AGCCAGUAGCAAAAGUACAACUGUUUGACACAAAAGGCCGCCAAAUAGACAUGGUCCUGCAGUACACUCGCUCUGUCUUAAAGAAGAUUCUCAGUGGGGUUUUAAACUGGUGGAGACUGAUGUUGAUGGUCAAGUUUCAAGAGCCAACUCCAAAUGCAGCAACAAGGCAACUAUGUGCAAGCCUCACGGUCCCCUUGGAAUCUCAGCGUGAACAAACAGAUGGGGUGAUUCCGGAGUUCAUUAGUCUGCAAGAGGAGUGUAAAGAGUCAAGG